AUUGAACGCUGGCGUCAGGCCUAACACAUGCAAGUCGAACGGUAACAGGAAGCAGCUUGCUGCUUCGCUGACGAGUGGCGGACGGGUGAGUAAUGUCUGGGAAACUGCCUGAUGGAGGGGGAUAACUACUGGAAACGGUAGCUAAUACCGCAUAACGUCGCAAGACCAAAGAGGGGGACCUUAGGGCCUCUUGCCAUCGGAUGUGCCCAGAUGGGAUUAGCUAGUAGGUGGGGUAACGGCUCACCUAGGCGACGAUCCCUAGCUGGUCUGAGAGGAUGACCAGCCACACUGGAACUGAGACACGGUCCAGACUCCUACGGGAGGCAGCAGUGGGGAAUAUUGCACAAUGGGCGCAAGCCUGAUGCAGCCAUGCCGCGUGUAUGAAGAAGGCCUUCGGGUUGUAAAGUACUUUCAGCGGGGAGGAAGGGAGUAAAGUUAAUACCUUUGCUCAUUGACGUUACCCGCAGAAGAAGCACCGGCUAACUCCGUG
rnacentral:rRNA from 1 species